UGGGGAAUAUUGGACAAUGGGCGAAAGCCUGAUCCAGCCAUGCCGCGUGUGUGAAGAAGGCCUUUUGGUUGUAAAGCACUUUAAGUGGGGAGGAAAAGCUUAUGGUUAAUACCCAUAAGCCCUGACGUUACCCACAGAAUAAGCACCGGCUAACUCUGUGCCAGCAGCCGCGGUAAUACAGAGGGUGCAAGCGUUAAUCGGAAUUACUGGGCGUAAAGCGCGCGUAGGUGGUUAUUUAAGUCAGAUGUGAAAGCCCCGGGCUUAACCUGGGAACUGCAUCUGAUACUGGAUAACUAGAGUAGGUGAGAGGGGAGUAGAAUUCCAGGUGUAGCGGUGAAAUGCGUAGAGAUCUGGAGGAAUACCGAUGGCGAAGGCAGCUCCCUGGCAUCAUACUGACACUGAGGUGCGAAAGCGUGGGUAGCAAACAGGAUUAGAUACCCUGGUAGUCCGCGCCGUAAACGAUGUCUACCAGUCGUUGGGUCUUUUAAAGACUUAGUGACGCAGUUAACGCAAUAAGUAGACCGCCUGGGGAGUACGGCCGCAAGGUUA
rnacentral:rRNA from 1 species